CAAAUACUCCAUUCAUCCGGAAAUACUUGUCAUCAAAAUGGAUAAAAGGAAAUGUAUCUAGACGUAUUUUAGUUUUAGAUACAUGUCUUUUUGUCCAUUUUGAUGACAAGUUUUUCGGACGGAGGGAGUAUUUA
rfam:Triticum aestivum genome assembly, contig: Triticum_aestivum_CS42_TGACv1_scaffold_224248_3B